GCUGGGCAUGGUGGCGCAUGCCUGUAAUCUCAGCUACUUGGGAGGCUGAGGCAGGAGAAUUGCUUGAACCCAGGAGGCGGAGGUUGUGGUGAGCUGAGAUCGUGCCACUGCACUCCAGCCUGGGCAACAGAGCAAGACUCUGCCUCAA
rnacentral:SRP_RNA from 1 species